AGCGAACGCUGGCGGCAGGCCUAACACAUGCAAGUCGAACGGAUCCUUCGGGAUUAGUGGCGGACGGGUGAGUAACACGUGGGAACGUGCCCUUUGGUUCGGAACAACUCAGGGAAACUUGAGCUAAUACCGGAUGUGCCCUUCGGGGGAAAGAUUUAUCGCCAUUGGAGCGGCCCGCGUCUGAUUAGCUAGUUGGUGAGGUAAAGGCUCACCAAGGCGACGAUCAGUAGCUGGUCUGAGAGGAUGAUCAGCCACAUUGGGACUGAGACACGGCCCAAACUCCUACGGGAGGCAGCAGUGGGGAAUCUUGCGCAAUGGGCGAAAGCCUGACGCAGCCAUGCCGCGUGAAUGAUGAAGGUCUUAGGAUUGUAAAAUUCUUUCACCGGGGACGAUAAUGACGGUACCCGGAGAAGAAGCCCCGGCUAACUUCGUG
rnacentral:rRNA from 1 species